rnacentral:pre_miRNA from 1 species
UGUGAUACAGAACUCAGUAAUGUGCUUUUGGAUGAACACAUGGGUUUGAUCUAUGUUAAUCCAAAGCACAUUGCUGGGUUUUAUAUCACA